rnacentral:rRNA from 1 species
GAUUAUGGCUCAGGACGAACGCUGGCGGCAUGCUUAACACAUGCAAGUCGAACGGAUGUAGCAAUACAUUAGUGGCGAACGGGUGAGUAACACGUGAGCAACCUGCCCUAUACCUUGGGAUAACUCAAAGAAAUUCGAGCUAAUACCGAAUAAGACCCCUCUAUCGCAUGAUAGAGAGGCAAAAGCGAAAUAGCGGUAAAGGAUGGGCUCGCGUCCCAUUAGCUAGUUGGUGAGAUAAAAGCUUACCAAGGCGAUGAUGGGUAGCCGACCUGAGAGGGUGAUCGGCCACACUGGAACUGAGACACGGUCCAGACUCCUACGGGAGGCAGCAGUGGGGAAUAUUGGGCAAUGGAGGCAACUCUGAACCCCCAGCAAUGCCGCGUGAGUGAAGAAGGUCUUCGGAUUGUAAAGCUCUUUGAUUAGGGAUGAAGGAAAUGACAUUACCUAAAGAACAAGCCCCGGCUAACUACGUGCCAGCAGCCGC